UACAGAGGGGGCAAGCGUUGUUCGGAAUUACUGGGCGUAAAGGGCGCGUAGGCGGCGUGCUAAGUCGAACGUGAAAUCCCCGGGCUCAACCCGGGAACUGCGUCCGAGACUGGCAGGCUUGAAUCCGGGAGAGGGAUGUGGAAUUCCAGGUGUAGCGGUGAAAUGCGUAGAUAUCUGGAGGAACACCGGUGGCGAAGGCGGCAUCCUGGACCAACACUGACACUGAGGAGCGAAAGCCAGGGGAGCAAACGGG
rnacentral:rRNA from 1 species